UAAGUACUCCCUCCGUCCGAAAAUACUCGUCGGAGGAAUGGAUGUAUCUAGAUGUAUUUUAGUUUUAGAUAGAUUCAUUUUUAUGCAUUCCUCCGACAAGUAUUUCCGGACGGAGGGAGUAAUUA
rfam:Triticum aestivum genome assembly, contig: Triticum_aestivum_CS42_TGACv1_scaffold_222925_3B